rnacentral:lncRNA from 1 species
CACUAUUUAUAUGACAUUCUGCCUUUUUCACUGCAAGAGAAAAGCCUUGGAUUAGGUGAUUCUUAGCUGUCAUGGAAUGCGAACUUGAGGAAAUGUCGGGCUAAUUUGGCUGCAGAGAGAAAGCAAUGACAAUAAAUUUGAGACAAGAAACAAGGUUUAAACAGGGUCCAUUUUGUUUGGUGAAUAGUGAGCUAUCACAUUUCAACUGUUUCCUUUACAUAAGCCCGUGCAGCUUAAUGCCUUAAUAGCCAUUGUGUUAUUAUUUUGUUAUUCUAACUUUAGUCGUUUGUGCUACCUGCAUCAGCUGAUCAAUGUUUUCUGAAUUUCAGAGGUGGCUAGGAAUGACCCAACGUGAGCUAAUAUGCUGUCACACUCUAUCAAAACAGUUGCAGACUGUCUGAAGAAACUCCUGUUUGAGUGUUAUCUGCGACUCAAAGAAUACUACAAGCCAUUGACCCUGCAAAUCCGUCUGUAAGCAGCUGCAUCUUUCCCUGAGGCGGCACGAAGAAGGAAGUUCCGUAGCUGUGAUAUCAUCGACUAACUUUCUGGGUGGGAGUCCCAGUUUUCUGUAGAAGAUUGCAACAAAGUAUUCCAGGGUGAAAAUCAAGCCUUUCUGAUUAGCAGAAAUGGUGGGCCUCCUAAUCAAAACAUGGCUCCUGGGCCCACAACAAGCUUUUUGUGGUCAGCCACAGUUCAGUUGUAAUUCCAAUUGGUAACUUUUGAAAGCACCACAAAUCAGUUUUGUGUGUGUUGUGUGACAAUGGUAUAGUUCUUGCAGCCAUGAUUUAGGCAAAGUAAGUUUUAGAACAUUAGUUACUGUAAAGAUAGCAUUGUGAAUGUGCAAGUUCUCUGGAAAGAAGUUGCCUUUACUAAGGACUAGCUGUAUUAGUCAUAUUCAUAGCAACCAUACUGAAUCACAUUUGUAUUUAAGAAAUAAACUGCAUUUUUUACUGCUCU